rnacentral:rRNA from 1 species
GACGGAGGGUGCGAGCGUUAAUCGGAAUUACUGGGCGUAAAGCGCAUGUAGGCGGCUGGACAAGUCGGGUGUGAAAUCCCGAGGCUUAACCUCGGAACUGCACUCGAAACUGCCUGGCUCGAGUCCCGGAGAGGGAGGCGGAAUUCCCGGUGUAGGGGUGAAAUCCGUAGAUAUCGGGAGGAACACCAGUGGCGAAGGCGGCCACCUGGACGGUUACUGACGCUGAGACGCGAAAGCGUGGGGAGCAAACAGG